rnacentral:lncRNA from 1 species
CCUAACUCAGCCCACUAAGCCCAAGCAAGCCUAUUUAUGAAAUUCUAUUUCAUCAUUCCCACCAUCAUUUCUAACCACAAAUCUUUUUUCUCAACUAUACGUAUUUCGAUAAUAAACAAGGCAAUCAAAUAUUUAUAUUUGUACUAAUCCAAAAUACUGUCAUUCAUUGCCAUAUCAUAAUGGCAUCAUCAUAUCACAUAUACAUCUAUUGUUUGUAGCCUUAAUCUUAGCGAUUUACAUCGAGUGUAAAUCCACAUACAAAAUUCUUAAUGACCAGCGGAGUGACUUGGGUGAGGGCACAACUACCGAAUGCCAUAUACCUACCGAGGGGUGAAUACGAGUGGUCUCCUUAAUCUCAGUCCCGACUAGCUACGGAUCUGA